rnacentral:rRNA from 1 species
UACGUAGGGGGCAAGCGUUGUCCGGAUUUAUUGGGCGUAAAGAGCGUGUAGGCGGCUUUACAGGUCCGUUGUGAAAACUCGAGGCUCAACCUCGAGACGCCGGUGGAAACCGUAAAGCUAGAGUCCGGAAGAGGAGAGUGGAAUUCCUGGUGUAGCGGUGAAAUGCGCAGAUAUCAGGAAGAACACCCGUGGCGAAGGCGGUCUGCUGGGGUCGAACUGACGCUGAGGCGCGACAGCGUGGGGAGCAAACAGG